UUGUCAUGCCAAUGGCACUGCCCGGUAGCUAAAUGCGGAAGAGAUAAGUGCUGAAAGCAUCUAAGCACGAAACUUGCCCCGAGAUGAGUUCUCCCUGACUCCUUGAGAGUCCUGAAGGAACGUUGAAGACGACGACGUUGAUAGGCCGGGUGUGUAAGCGCAGCGAUGCGUUGAGCUAACCGGUACUAAUGAACCGUGAGGCUUAACCUUACAACGCCGAAG
rnacentral:rRNA from 1 species